UUAGGGUGAGAAAAUCAAGUGAAACAUGCAAAGUUGUCCCAGUCUUGGGAUUACAAGUUGAUGAAAAACUUGUGUGAGACUCACAGAGUUACCCCACUUUUUCUUUGGCAAGGGGUUCUGUUUGGAAGAGUUUGUGGGCGUGAAAAGAAACGGCUAAAAGGAGGUCCCUACUGAUUUGAUUUUCUUUUGCAUGCUUCUGGUUAAAUGGUAGGAUGAUCCCCU
rnacentral:lncRNA from 1 species